rnacentral:rRNA from 1 species
UAGGGAAUCUUCCGCAAUGGGCGAAAGCCUGACGGAGCAACGCCGCGUGAGUGAUGAAGGUCUUCGGAUCGUAAAACUCUGUUAUUAGGGAAGAACAAAUGUGUAAGUAACUAUGCACGUCUUGACGGUACCUAAUCAGAAAGCCACGGCUAACUACGUGCCAGCAGCCGCGGUAAUACGUAGGUGGCAAGCGUUAUCCGGGAUUAUUGGGCGUAAAGCGCGCGUAGGCGGUUUUUUAAGUCUGAUGUGAAAGCCCACGGCUCAACCGUGGAGGGUCAUUGGAAACUGGAAAACUUGAGUGCAGAAGAGGAAAGUGGAAUUCCAUGUGUAGCGGUGAAAUGCGCAGAGAUAUGGAGGAAAACCAGUGGCGAAGGCGACUUUCUGGUCUGUAACUGACGCUGAUGUGCGAAAGCGUGGGGAUCAAACAGG